rnacentral:rRNA from 1 species
UCAGGACGAACGCUGGCGGCGUGCUUAACACAUGCAAGUCGAACGAUGAAGUUAUGACGGAGGCUUCGGCCGACAGAAUAAUGGAAUAGUGGCGGACGGGUGAGUAACGCGUGAGUAACCUGCCUUUCAGAGAGGAAUAACAUUUGGAAACGAAUGGUAAUACCACAUAACAUUACGUUCUCGCAUGGGGAUGUAAUCAAAGAUUUUAUCGCUGAGAGAUGGACUCGCGUCCGAUUAGCUGGAUGGUGAGGUAACGGCCCACCAUGGCGACGAUCGGUAGCCGGACUGAGAGGUUGAACGGCCACAUUGGGACUGAGACACGGCCCAGACUCCUACGGGAGGCAGCAGUGGGGAAUAUUGCACAAUGGGGGAAACCCUGAUGCAGCAACGCCGCGUGAAGGAAGACGGUCUUCGGAUUGUAAACUUUUGUUCUUGGUGAAGAAAAAUGACGGUAGCCAAGGAGGAAGCCACGGCUAACUACGUGCCAGCAGCCGCGGUAAUACGUAGGUGGCAAGCGUUGUCCGGAAUUACUGGGUGUAAAGGGAGCGCAGGCGGGAAAUCAAGUUGGAUGUGAAAUGUCGGGGCUUAACCCCGGAACUGCAUCCAAAACUGACAUUCUUGAGUGAAGUAGAGGUAGGCGGAAUUCCGAGUGUAGCGGUGAAAUGCGUAGAUAUUCGGAGGAACACCAGUGGCGAAGGCGGCCUACUGGGCUUUAACUGACGCUGA